rnacentral:rRNA from 1 species
CCUACGGGAGGCUGCAGUGAGGAAUAUUGGUCAAUGGGCGAGAGCCUGAACCAGCCAAGUCGCGUGAGGGAGUACUGCCCUAUGGGUUGUAAACCUCUUUUGUCGGGGAGCAAAAGCCGGACGUGUCCGGCUGUGAGAGUACCCGAAGAAAAAGCAUCGGCAAACCCCGUGCCAGCAGCCGCGGUAAUACGGGGGAUGUGAGCGUUAUCCGGAUUUUUUGGGUUUAAAGGGUGCGCAGGCGGUUUUUUUAGUCAGUGGUAAAAUCGUGGGGCACACCCCCAUCCAGCCGUUGAAACUGGGGAUCUAGAGUGUGCGAGAGGUAUGCGGAAUGCGUGGUGUAGCGGUGAAAUGCAUAGAUAUCACGCAGAACCCCGAUUGCGAAGGCAGCAUACCGGUGCACAACUGACACCCAGGCACGAAAGCGUGGGUAUCGAACAGGAUUAGAUACCCCAGUAGUC